GACGAACGCUGGCGGCGUGCCUAAUACAUGCAAGUAGAACGCUUAAGGAGGAGCUUGCUUCUCUGGAUGAGUUGCGAACGGGUGAGUAACGCGUAGGUAACCUGCCUGGUAGCGGGGGAUAACUAUUGGAAACGAUAGCUAAUACCGCAUAAGAGUAGAUGUUGCAUGACAUUUUCUUAAAAGGUGCAAUUGCAUCACUACCAGAUGGACCUGCGUUGUAUUAGCUAGUUGGUGGGGUAACGGCUUACCAAGGCGACGAUACAUAGCCGACCUGAGAGGGUGAUCGGCCACACUGGGACUGAGACACGGCCCAGACUCCUACGGGAGGCAGCAGUAGGGAAUCUUCGGCAAUGGACGGAAGUCUGACCGAGCAACGCCGCGUGAGUGAAGAAGGUUUUCGGAUCGUAAAGCUCUGUUGUAAGAGAAGAACGAGUGUGAGAGUGGAAAGUUCACACUGUGACGGUAUCUUACCAGAAAGGGACGGCUAACUACGUG
rnacentral:rRNA from 1 species